rnacentral:misc_RNA from 1 species
AGAGUUAAAUAGUACGUGAAAUUGUUGAAAGGGAAACGAUUGAAGUCAGUCAUACCGACGGGUAAUCAGCUCUUCGGAAGUGAUCAUAGUGGAGAUGGGAAGAUCUCACUCUGCUAUGUUCGUAUCUCUGGGGCGUACUUUCCUGUAUGGUAGGUUAACAUCAAUUUCGGUCGUCAUAAAAUGACGGGAGGAAUGUAGCUUUCUCGGAAGUGUUAUAGCCUCUGGUAGAUGUGAUGACCGGGAUUGAGGAUUGCAACGGAUACCCAUCUGGGCUACCCGUCUGAUCUCUGUUUGCCACCCUGGUGUUGAAAGCGUGCUUACGAUUUCAGGAAUGGUGGAUAAAAGGUUAGAACGGGUUAAAUUCGUUAAGGAUGUUGACGUAAUGACUUUAAACGA